GAAUCUUGCGCAAUGGGCGAAAGCCUGACGCAGCCAUGCCGCGUGAAUGAUGAAGGUCUUAGGAUUGUAAAAUUCUUUCACCGGGGACGAUAAUGACGGUACCCGGAGAAGACGCCCCGGCUAACUUCGUGCCCGCAGCCGCGGUAAUACGCAGGGGGCUAGCGUUGCCCGGAAUUACUGGGCGUAAAGGGCGCGUAGGCGGAACGUUAUGUCAGAGGUGAAAUCCCAGGGCUCAACCCUGGAACUGCCGUUGAUACUGGCGAUCUUGAGUAUGAGAGAGGUAUGUGGAACUCCGAGUGUAGAGGGGAAAUUCGUAGAUAUUCGGAAGAACACCAGUGGCGAAGGCGACAUACUGGCUCAUUACUGACGCUGAGGCGCGAAAGCGUGGGGAGCAAACA
rnacentral:rRNA from 1 species